AUACAAAUCAAACGAACAGGGUAAUAAAGAGUCGAAGAUUGAUAUUAAUUAU
rnacentral:guide_RNA from 1 species